GAUGAACGCUGGCGGCGUGCCUAAUACAUGCAAGUCGAGCGGACGGACGCGACGCUUGCUUCUCUGAUGUUUGCGGCGGAGGUGUGAGUCACACGUGGAUACCCUCCCCAUCAGACUGGGAUCACUUCGGGACACCGGCUCUUAUCCCGGAUAAUAUUCUGCACCGCAUGGUUCAAAAGUGAAAGACGGUCUUGCUGUCACUUAUAGCUGGUUCCGCGCUGCAUUAGCUAGUUGGUAAGGUAACGGCUUACCAAGGCAACGAGGCCUAUCCGACCUGUGAGAGUGGUCGGCCACACUGGAACGGGAACACGGUCCAGAGUCCUACGGGAGGCAGCAGUAGGGAAUCGGACGCAAUGGGCGAAAGCCUGACGGAGCAACGCCGCGUGAGUGAUGAAGGUCUUCGGAUCGUAAAACUCUGUUAUGAGGGAAGAACAUAUGUGUAAGUAACUGAGCACAUCGUGACGGUACCUAAUCAGAAAGCCACGGCUAACUACGUG
rnacentral:rRNA from 1 species